rnacentral:lncRNA from 1 species
CUUCUAGCUACUCCGUAUCGCCCCUGUAGCAGGUGCCUCAGGCCUCCAGACCCCUGAGGAGCCGAGGGGAGGUGACUGUCUUCCCUUGGUUCUCGGGGUCCCCAAGUCUCAAGACUGCUUGGCCCCAGCAGUCCGGGCCCUCAGCAGACUUCCAGCUCUCGUGACUGGCUCGGCCCUGACGAGGCUGCAUGAGGAGUGUGGGCUCUGAAGCCAGAAUUCUUGGCUCCAGAGCUCGGCUCCAAAUCUUGGGCACAUCUUGAACAAAUUUCUUAAACUCUCUGUGUCUCAGUCUGCAAAUGAUAAGAUGGAGAUAAAAUGGGCCUCUCUCCUAAGCCAUGACUGGCCGUAGUGUGCGCUUCCAUAGAUUAAGAAGAGCUUGCCUCUCCCCUCCAAGGGCCAUAGGUAUAUGCCAGGUAUGCUGCUUGGGGAGAUCACCGUCUGCCCUCUUGGCCAGAUGCCCUUGUUCAGUGAACAACCUUCCCAACUGUACAUGGCAACCCUGCCUACAGCGUUGUCAUGAGAAUAAACGAGACAUCACACACCUUCUUUGGAAAGACAGACGAGAGGAUGUUGACACAUGAACCAAGAACCGGAGAGGAGACAGCUCCUGUCACCGCACUGAAGGCAGCAGAGGGUCUGCAGAGCCUGAUGCGAGAGCGUCUCCCCAAAGCUCUGGUCCCGGGGCCCUUGGAGCCGCUGUGCGAGGACCCCUCCCUCCACCCCGGUUCUUGCAUUAGUCCCUGGACUUGGGGAUUGCCGCCCACAGCUGUGCAGAGCUCAGAGGCAGCCCAGAGACAAAGAUUCUAACCCAACUGCACGCAAGUUGAACUGGGAGGUGAUCCCUGGAUGCGCUGGGAGGGAGGUGGGGAGGGAGACAGGGCUGCAAUGUGGGGCACGGGGGCUCUGGGGACCCCUGGGAGAGACCAGAGCUCCGCACGAGGUGAGGCUGCCAUAAGGCUGCUGCUGGGGGGCGGUGCUGAUGCCAGUCAUCACUCCUGGGCCGGGAGGGCCCCUUCCUGUGACAGAAUUCCUAGUAGACCCGGGGGGCCUUGGUCCUCAGGACAGCCCUUGCUGUGCGCCAGGCACUGUUGUAUUAGGUCACCCCCCUGUUGCAGGGGGACGUGAGGCUCAGAGAGGUGGGGUGACUUUCCUAACAUCACAGAGUUAGUGAGCAACAGAGUUAGUCACAGGCUCGCUGUUCUGUGUGAGCUGCACUGCUGGAAACCCACCAGGCACGAAGGGGUCUACAGGGAGAAGCCCCCACCUUGUCCCACGGCCUCCCAGCGCCCC